AGUGAAACAAGCCCAUACUCAAGGGGAAGUUGGGCUCGAUGGGCCCAACAAGCAGUUGUUGAAACGUCUGGUGGGGCCCACAGAGUGUUUGCUGAUGCAAUCAUUUUCAACUACCGACUCACUCACCUUGCUUCUACUGUUGGCAUCUCUUCCACGCAAGCACACACGUUUUAUGGUGUAUCGUCGCACACUGCCACGGCAACCGACACACCCCUCUCGACUCACUUCCUUCACUCGUCCCCAACUCAGUUACCGCCGUGGCCAACAACAUACUAAUGCACAUGGACUCCUCCUCCGACGAGGAGAACGACCGCUGCAACCUCGUCGACCAGAACCACCGCAAACCUCCGUCCCCGGCCGCCGUCUUCCACGUCGAAGAUCGCUCUCCGCGCUUCUUCCGCCGGAAUUUCGUAUACCAGAAGAAGUACAUUGUCACAAUCCUCGCUUUCCUCCUCGUCAUCCUCUUUUUCUCCGUCGCCAAUUUCCACAGUAUCUUCUCAAGCUCUUCCUUCCAAUUCGAUUCUGUCUCUGAUCGAAUGAAGGAAUCUGAAUUGCGCGCCAUUAACCUCUUGCGGCGACAACAGCUAGGACUCUUAACCGCGUGGAACACCACACGUCGGUCCAACGCGUCGGAUCCGAACCAAUUGGAGGAUCUGAAAUCUGUGUUGUUCAAGCAGAUUUCCCUUAACCAAGAGAUUCAGCAGGUUCUGUUGAACCCGCAUUCCACGGGGAACAUAGUUGAGCCAGAGUUUGAUUUAAACGCUACUUUGAACGGCAUUGUUUACGAUAGGUGUAGAACGGUGGAUCAGAAUUUGUCGCAGAGGAGAACCAUCCAGUGGAACCCUAGGGAUGGUAAAUUUUUACUUGCUAUAUGCGUGUCUGGGCAAAUGUCUAACCAUUUGAUUUGUUUGGAGAAACACAUAUUUUUCGCUGCUUUGCUAAAUAGAGCUUUAGUGAUUCCUAGUUCCAAGGUGGAUUACCGGUACGAUAGAGUUGUGGAUAUUGAUCGCAUUAACAAGUGCUUGGGGAAGAAAGUGGUGUUUUCCUUUGAGGAGUUUUCGAAUUUAAAGAAGGGUCACAUGCACAUUGAUAAGUUUUUGUGUUACUUUUCGAAGCCUACGCCUUGUUACUUGGACGAUGAAUGGUUGAAGAAGUUGGGGGGUUUAGGUGUGACUAUGAAUAAACAAGAAGCCGUGUGGGAUGAGGAUACCCGGAAUCCGAAGAGCAAGACAGCUCAGGAUGUGCUGGGGAAGUUUAACUAUGAUGAUGAUGUUAUGGCAAUUGGGGAUGUGUUCUAUGCUGAAGUGGAGCCAGAAUGGGUAAUGCAAUCUGGUGGGCCAAUUGCACACCAAUGCAAGACUCUCAUUGAACCUAAUCACCUUAUUUCACUCACUGCCCAACGGUUUAUUCAGACAUUUCUCGGAAGGAACUUCAUUGCAUUGCAUUUUCGAAGACACGGGUUUUUGAAAUUCUGUAAUGCUAAAAAGCCAAGUUGCUUUUACCCCAUUCCUCAAGCUGCAGAUUGCAUUUUGAGGGUGGUUGAAAGAGCUGAUGCCCCUAUUAUUUAUCUUUCUACAGAUGCAGCAGAAAGUGAAACUGGACUGCUUCAGUCUCUCGUAGUGCUGAAUGGCAGGCCUGUUCCUCUUGUAAUGCGUCCAGCUCGAAAUUCAGCAGAAAAAUGGGAUGCUCUGUUGUAUAGGCAUGGUUUGGAAGGAGAUACACAGGUGGAGGCUAUGCUGGACAAGACUAUAUGUGCCAUGUCUAGCGUGUUCAUCGGAGCCCCUGGUUCCACUUUCACCGAGGACAUCCUGCGGCUGAGAAGGGGCUGGGGAUCCGCAUCGAUAUGUGAUGAGUAUCUUUGCCAUGGUGAAGAACCAAACAUUGUAGCGGAAAAUGAAUAACAACAAAAGCGUUUUUUUCGGGGACCAGCACGUAUUUGUUGUGCCAUGAUUGGAGAUUUGUCAAUAAAUUACUAAUGAGUAGCCGUGCUAAGCAUACCCAUGAUUUGUUGCCGUCACUUCAAAUAUUGCUUCAAAUAUUGUUGUCGGGAUAUGAAGAGGGGACACCGGGUCACCAGGUAAGUUGAUGAAAAUGCCUUCUUUCAAAACUUUCAUGGACUUUGUAUUGGUUGACAGACCAAUUAGAAAAUAUUAGCCAAUAGGCCAAUUUAUGCCCUUUUUUAUUUUGAUUAAAUAGGGUUUUUGCUGUAAUUAUUUUGGUUGGGUUGUUGCUAGUUAUUUUAAUUA